rnacentral:misc_RNA from 1 species
GAUGAAGAACGCAGCGAAAUGCGAUAAGUAGUGUGAAUUGCAGAAUUCAGUGAAUCAUCGAAUAUUUGAACGCACAUUGCGCCCCUUGGUAUUCCAUGGGGCAUGCCUGUUCGAGCGUCAUUUGUACCUUCAAGCUUUGCUUGGUGUUGGGUGUUUGUCCAUUCUCUUGCAGAGGGACUCGCCUUAAAGUAAUUGGCAGCCAGUGUUUUGGUUUUGAAGCGCAGCACAAGUCGCGAUUCAACGCUAUACGCCAGCUUCCACAAGCCUUUUUCACUUUUGACCUCGGAUCAGGUAGGGAUACCCGCUGAACUUAAGCAUAUCAAUAAGCGGAGGA